AUUGAACGCUGGCGGCAUGCCUUACACAUGCAAGUCGAACGGCAGCACGGGGGCAACCCUGGUGGCGAGUGGCGAACGGGUGAGUAAUGCAUCGGAACGUGCCCAGUAGUGGGGGAUAACUAGUCGAAAGAUUAGCUAAUACCGCAUACGACCUAUGGGUGAAAGCGGGGGAUUCGCAAGAACCUCGCGCUAUCGGAGCGGCCGAUGUCUGAUUAGCUAGUGGCGGGGUAAAGCCCACCAAGGCUUCGAUCAGUAGCUGGUCUGAGAGGACGACCAGCCACACUGGGACUGAGACACGGCCCAGACUCCUACGGGAGGCAGCAGUGGGGAAUUUUGGACAAUGGGCGCAAGCCUGAUCCAGCCAUGCCGCGUGC
rnacentral:rRNA from 1 species